rnacentral:rRNA from 1 species
GACGAACCGUGCGAACGUUGUUCGGAAUCACUGGGCUUAAAGGGCGCGUAGGCGGGCUACCAAGUCUGUGGUGAAAUCCUCCAGCUCAACUGGAGAACGGCCGUGGAUACUGGGAGCCUCGAGGGAGAUAGGGGCAGGCGGAACUGAUGGUGGAGCGGUGAAAUGCGUUGAUAUCAUCAGGAACUCCGGUGGCGAAGGCGGCCUGCUGGAUCUCAUCUGACGCUGAGGCGCGAAGCCAGGGGAGCAAAGCGGG